CUGCAGAUUCAGCAGCUGCUGGGAAUCCAGUUACUUCAAAUCCUGGGGAACAGUCACAUGUUUACCAACCAAUAGCAUCAGCCACAGAAAUGAUCAUCUCACCUGUUCCUGCCUCAGUUUCAGCCACAGAUUUGGUCCUUACGACUGGCAUCAUUCCGACCUCAGCAGAAGUGACUCCUUCACCUGCAUCUCUGAGUAUUGCUGUAACCACCUUGACAG